rnacentral:lncRNA from 10 species
CUAUUAGAGCUUUAUUUUGUUGCUUUAAAGGUGUCAUAUUUCCUUGAUUCUUUGUAUAUAUAUAUUUUUGAAGACUUGCGCUGCUAUCUUCACAUUUGAAGAAGCGGUCACCUCCUUUAGUCUUACUUGUUUCUUAUUAAAAUUUUUUUAAUGUUUUUUUUUAAGAGAUGGGAUCUCACUAUGUUGCCCAGGGUGGUCUCAAACUCCUGGCCUCAAGUGAUCCUCCCACCUCAGCCUCCCAAAGUGCUGAGAUUACAGGUGUAAGCUACCAUGCCUGGCUGUCCCCCAGUCUUUGUUGACUGGCUUUGGGAGAGAAAGACCUUCAUCAGUCAUCCUAGCUAAGGAUUUGAGGGAUCGCUCAGAUCUUUUCUGUAGAUACACCCACUCUACUCCUGUUGCUCCCUCUUAGGGAGAGAAGUCUUAGGUUGUAAGCUCCUCUCAAUCCUCCAAAGCUGGGUCUACACUGAGCACCUCCCAUUUUCCCUAAUGCAGUGCUCUGAAGCAUUCAAGGUUGGGCACCUUCUCCCAGUCCAGCAGAGUCAAGCCGGCUGCUCAGAUUUGCAUCUGCCGUUGAGAUCUGUGUACUGUUUGGGAGGAGGGUGCAUGAGACACCAUAUGCUCAGGGGUACGUGGAGUGCUGGGGGCAUGGAUCAGUUGGUUGGGGGGCCCACAGGCAAGUUGUUCUGUGGGUUCAUGGGCGGGCCUCCUGGUGGAGUGUUAGCUGGUUAGUGGGAUCCAUGGCUGGCUGUUGGUUGCUAGGCAUGUCCUUCCCUUCUCCUAGCAGUCCCCAGGUGACUCAGCCAUGCUGAUUCCUCAGUGUUCUGGGGAGAGACACAGGUGGGCUAUUGGGCAGCAUCCUAUAAGGUUGGGGAAGCUGGUGCUCACUCAGCACUCAGUUUCCCCUGUGGGAGAAACCACAGGCCCAGGGGGGCCUCAUUGGAGGAGCACUAGCACAGGUAAACUGAACCUUCUUAGCCUCUUCGGUGUGCUCUCUUUGCCCUGUGGGGUGCUAGAACCUCUCAGUGUUUCUGUGGGGGCAUGAGGGCUGGAACCUCCUAUUCUGUCACCUUCCUGGCCUCUUCCUACAAUUAUUUUUAUGCUCAAAUUGCCCCCGAUUUGGACAGGGGGAGAGCCUUCAGGCUGCUCCUCCAGCCCUCUCACAUGUCCCCAACGUUGUUCAGCAUUUCCUUAUUUUCCAGCACUAGACAUUCUAAGGCUCACCCUGUACUCUCUCUGCUCUUCCCUGGAAAUAGUCAUUUCUCCAAAGAGUUCUGUUCCCUUGGAAUAGAGAAUGGUAUUUACAAACCAAGAAAUGGAUUUCAGGUGUGCCAGUUGUUUCUGGGGUGGCAUUGCUUCUAGGCCCCUUCGGUGGACAGAGCUGGGAAAGAAACUGUGUGUAUCAUAUAUAUCUGCACACGUAAGCUGUGUGUGUAUCAUAUAUAAUACAUCUGCACAUAUAAACUGUGUAUGUAUCAUAUAUAAUACAUCUGCACUUAUAAACUGUGUAUGUAUCAUAUAUUAAUACAUCUGCACAUAUAAACUAUCAUCUGUACAUAUAAACUGUAUAUCAUAUAUAUCUGCACAUAUAAACAGUAUCAUAUAAUACAUCUGCACAUGUAAACUGUAUCAUAUCUGCACAUAUAAACUGUAUAUCAUAUAUAUCUGCACAUAUAAACUAUCAUAUAUAAUACAUCUGCACAUACAAACUAUCAUAUCUGCACAUAUAAACUAUAUCAUAUAUAUCUGCACAUAUAAACUAUCAUAUAUAAUACAUCUGCACAUACAAACUAUGUAUCAUAUAUAAUACAUCUGCACUUAUAAACUCUGUGUAUCAUACAUAAUACAUCUGCACAUAUAAACUAUCAUAUCUGUACAUAUAAACUGUGUAUAUCAUAUAUAUCUGCACAUAUAAACUGUAUCAUAUCUACACAUAAACUGUAUAUAUCAUAUAAUAUAUGCGCAUAUAAACUAUCAUAUAUCUGCACAUAUAAACUAUGUAUCAUAUAUAUCUGCACAUAUAAACUGUGUGUAUCAUAUAUAGUACAUCUGUACAUAUAAACUGUAUCAUAUACAUCUGCACAUAUAAACUAUCAUAUAUAAUACAUCUGCACUUAUAAACUGUGUACCAUAUAUAUCUGCACAUAUAAACUGUAUCAUAUAUAUCUGCACAUAUAAACUAUCAUAUAUAAUACAUCUGCACAUAUAAACUGUAUCAUAUAUAAUCUGCACUUAUAAACUGUAUCAUAUAUAUCUGCACAUAUAAACUGUAUCAUAUAUAUCUGCACAUAUAAACUGUCAUAUAUAAUACAUCUGCACAUAUAAAUUGUGUAUAAUACAUCUGCACAUAUAAACUGUAUCAUAUAUAAUACAUCUGCACAUAUAAACUAUCAUAUCUGCACAUAUAAACUAUCAUAUCUGCACAUAUAAACUAUCAUAUAUCUGCACAUAUAAACUGUAUCAUAUAUAAUACAUCUGCACAUAUAAACUGUAUCAUAAUACAUCUGCACAUAUAAACUGUCAUGUAUAUCUGCACAUAUAAACUGUAUCAUAUAUAUUUGCACAUAUAAACUGUGUGUAUCAUAUAAUACAUCUGCACAUAUAAACUAUCAUAUAUAAUACAUCUGCACAUAGAAACUGUGUAUCAUAUAUCUGCACAUAUAAGCUGUGUGUGUAUCAUAUAUAUCUGCACAUAUAAACUGUGUGUAUCAUAUAUAAUACAUCUGCACAUAUAAAUGUGUGUAUCAUAUAUAUCCACACAUAUAAACUGUGUGUGUAUCAUAUAUCUACACAUAUAAACUGUGUGUAUCAUAUAUAAUACAUCUGCACAUAUAAACUGUGUGUAUCAUAUAUAUCCGCACAUAUAAACUGUGUGUGUAUCAUAUAUAUCUGCACAUAUAAACUGUGUGUGUAUCAUAUAUAAUACAUCUGCACACAUGCUUCUCUGUAUUGAAAACCAAAUUGUCACGGACCACUCCCAUUCUCACGCAGCAUUUAGGGCUGUGGCUAGCCUUUCCCAGCUGUAAGAAACCUGUCUUUCAGCAUGAUAAACACAUUUACUUAUUUGCUCAGUCCUCUAAUAUGCAGAAAGUAGUUUUAGAAUUGCCAAAACCAUACAACUUGGAAAAACAAGCAUGAUUACUUCAAGAUGUGUUUGUAGCUCCUUCUGUCCUGGCAUUGGACGUGGAGAGAAAGCACAGACUGUUCCAAGUUUCAUUUUUCCCCUUCUCUGAAACGCAGAGAGCGUUGUUUGUUUCUGUUUGUAUUUCAUUUGGGUCCUCCCUCUAGCCUUAUUCAUAAAUUUGUAAAUGAUCUUUAACAAUCUGUUAUAUUUAUGAUGUUUUACUGCGUGCUGCCUGUGAAAAUGUUUCCUUCUUCUGACACGUUCCAGAACAACUAGGCUUUUAAAUUCCAAAUAUUCCUGUUUCACAAUAAACCAGAUGAGGGCCUCUGUUGUGCCACAGCUUUUGGAAUGUGGUUUAUUACCAAUAGAAGUGGCUGCGUGGCUUGUUAUGGUUUCAAUUACACGUGAGUAACAACCGGGGCCCUUCUGUGUCAGGUGCUGCUGAUCAAGGCUGGCUAAUGGGGACCUCGCUGUCCAGAACGGGCGUUUCCCAUGGCCCGGCCCAGCUGUUUACCACUUCUGUCUACCAUUUCAGAGGGGCUUUGCGGAGAUUAAAUGAGGUGAAGCGCUCUGAGAACCUCAGUCCUAAAGAAUAGCAGUUAUACUGGUUUUUGUAUUAUAUUUAUAUAUUCUUCUUGUUAAUAUACUGGUUUUAAUGUUCAUCGUUCUCUUGGGAUCCCAUGACAGUGAGCCUGGUGUACCUGAGGUCUGGGAUACUCACACCUCUCCCCAGUCCCAUGCUCCCCACUGUGGCAGUGCCUGUCAGGGACCCUGCUGACCCCAGGAAGCCUCGGUGUCCCCAGCGCUGGCUCUGCUCACACAGGCAGCAGGCUUAGUGUUCUCUGGCCUGGCUGCACUGACUGGACCAGGGACAGGGGAAGGGCCCCAAAGCACCCUGUUCCAGGCAGCCGGCCAGUCGUGGCCGAGGAGCUCCAUUCAACAGUGGCACCCAGAGGGGCCAGGGUCUCAUAAAGCUGGUCAGACGCCCCCUCUGGGUAGGGGUGUAGGAAGCGGCUGUGCAGCCGGGUCCCAGGUAGGGAGGCAUAGAGUGAAGGCUGUGAGCAGGAGCCCUGGGGCGGAGGGCCAGGAGAAGGCUGGGCACAGGUCCAUCGGUGGCAGCUGGGUGGGCAGAGCAGAGAGGCUGCAUCUGCACGACGGCAGGGCCCUGGUGUGGGAACAGCAGACGGGGCCCCUGGGUGCGGCGCCUCCUUCCCACAUCCCUGCUGCUCCUGCAUCUGCUGCUGGAGAAGACCACGACGUGCUCAGACCCCGGCACUGGAGAACUCCAGAUGUGGUGAGGGCUGCACGUUAGCUGCAUACGCACAUCUGGAAGGUGAGGCAGACGUGCCCACCGCCUCCAUGCCUGGCCCACAGUUGUGGGCAUGCAGAGCUCCUCUGUGGCAGGCCCAGGCUGCACCAGCUGCCUGGAGAGGCACUGGGGGCGGGGCCUCACUUGAGGGGCAGAUUCUCCCACCCAGCCAGUCCAGGCCCAGCGGCUGGAGCAUCCCGUCCAGCAAAUUGUCCUGCAAGUUGCCCUGGAGACCCAGCGUCUCUCAUCACGUCUCACUCCCCUGCCAGAUGCCUCUGCGGCAAUAACGAGAGUGGCUCUGCCUUCUGCACUGAAUGCCGACAGGUGACCAGAACAUGACACUGGGGUUAUGCAGUGCCCUGGUUGAUAUUCUAGUUCAUCAGGGAGCUUCUGGAAUGAUUUUUUUUUUCUUUUUUUUUUUUUUUUGAGACAGAGUCUCUCUCUGUCGCCCAGGCUGGAGUGCAAUGGAGCAAUCUUGGCUCACCACAACCUCUGCCUCCGGGGUUCAAGUGAUUCUCCUGUCUGAGCCUCCUGAGUAGCUGGGAUUACAGGUGUCCACCACUAUCACUCAGUUAAUUUUUAUAUUUUUAGUAGAGAUGGGGUUUCACCAUGUUGCCUGGGCUGGUCUCAAACUCCUGACCUCAGGUGAUCUGCCUCCUCAGCCUCCCAAAGUGCUGGGAUUACAGGCAUGAGCCACCUCACCCAGCCAACUUUCUUUUGCUUCACUUUUCCUCUGGUUGCCCCAUCUUUAUUGUCAAGUCCUGUUAAGAGGAACAACAUUAAAAUGAGAGCUUUCAUGGCAAAAAGGUUGCUGUGGGUUGAGCUUGCAAUGUUAGCUGCGUGUUAGGAUUCAGCUGACAUCUGUCUCUGGAGUCUCGCCCUUUCUGUAAUUCGCUUUUGACUGUAAUAAAUGUUGUACAGGCCAGGUGCAGUGACUCACACCUGUAAUCCCAGCACUUUGCAAGGCCAAGGCAGGUGGACCACGAGGUCAGGAGAUCGAGAUCAUCCUGGCUAACACGGUGAAACCCCGUCUCCACUGAAAAUACAGAAAAUUAGCUGGGUGUGGUGGCACCUGCCUGUGGUCCCAGCUAUU